UCAAGUUAUUAAGGGUGCAGGGCGGAUGCCUUGGCACUAGGAGCCGAUGAAGGACGUGAUAAGCUGCGAUAAGCUUCGGGGAGUUGCACGUAAACUUUGAUCCGAAGAUUUCCGAAUGAGGAAACUCACUUAGAGUAAUGUCUAAGUAUCAUUAAGUGAAUACAUAGCUUAAUGAGGGGAACUCAGGGAACUGAAACAUCUAAGUACCUGAAGGAAGAGAAAGAAAUUCGAUUCCGUAAGUAGCGGCGAGCGAACGCGGAUUAGCCCAAACCAAUAAAGUUUUCUUUAUUGGGGUUGCGGACAUAUCAUAACGAAGAGGUAUCGUAAUUGAAGAGGUUUGGAAAGACCCACCACAGAAGGUAAUAGUCCUGUAUGUUAAACGAGAAGACUUCAGAUAUGAUCCAGAGUACCACGGGACACGUGAAACCCUGUGGGAAGCAGGAGGGACCACCCUCCAAGGCUAAAUACUACCUAGUGACCGAUAGCGUAUAGUACCGUGAGGGAAAGGUGAAAAGAACCCCGGGAGGGGAGUGAAAUAGAACCUGAAACCCUGCACUUACAAGCUGUGGAAGCACAUUUCUUGUGUGACCGCGUACUUUUUGUAGAACGGGCCAACGAGUUACGUUAAGUAGCAAGGUUAAGCACUUAAGGUGUGGAGCCGUAGCGAAAGCGAGUUUUAACUGAGCGUUCAGUUACUUGACGUAGACCCGAAACCGGGCGACCUACCCAUGAGCAGGAUGAAGCGAAAGUAAAAUUUCGUGGAGGUCCGAACCCACGAGCGUUGAAAAGCUCGGGGAUGACUUGUGGGUAGCGGUGAAAUUCCAAUCGAGCCCGGAGAUAGCUGGUUCUCCCCGAAAUAGCUUUAGGGCUAGCCUCAAGGUGAGAGAUACGGAGGUAGAGCACUGAAUGUCCUAGGGGGUAUUGCACCUACCGAAGACUAUCAAACUCCGAAUGCCGUCAUCUUAUACUUGGGAGUCAGACUGUGGGUGAUAAGAUUCAUAGUCGAAAGGGCAACAGCCCAGAUCGUCAGCUAAGGUCCCUAAAUGUAAGUUAAGUGGUAAAGGAUGUGGGAUUGCACAGACAACCAGGAUGUUGGCUUAGAAGCAGCCACUCAUUCAAAGAGUGCGUAAUAGCUCACUGGUCGAGUGAUCCUGCGCCGAAGAUUUCCGGGGCUAAAACUUACUACCGAAGCUACGGCAUCAGUAAUGAUGGGUAGGGGAGCUUCCCAUACGGGUUGAAGCAUGACCGUAAGGACAUGUGGACAGUAUGGGAGUGAGAAUGUUGGCAUGAGUAGCGAGAUGUGGGUGAGAAUCCCACAGGCCGUAAACCCAAGGUUUCCAGGGGAAGGUUCGUCCGCCCUGGGUUAGUCGGGACCUAAGCUGAGGCCGAAAGGCGUAGGUGAUGGACAACAGGUUGAUAUUCCUGUACUACCGAUAACCGUUUGAGAGAAGGGAUGACACAGUAGGAUAAGCUAAGCACACUGUUGGUUAUGUGUGCCCAAGCAUUGAGGCAGUCAAAGUAGGCAAAUCCGCUUUGAUAAUGCUGGGAUGUGAUGGGGAGCGAAAUUUAGUAGCGAAGUAGCUGAUUUCACACUGUCAAGAAAAGUCUCUAUCGAGGUUAAAGGUACCCGUACCGCAAACCGACACAGGUGGGUGAGGAGAGUAUCCUAAGGCCAGCGAGAGAACUGUUGUUAAGGAACUCGGCAAAAUGACCCCGUAACUUAGGGAUAAGGGGUGCCACCAUCAGGUGGCCGCAGAGAAUAGGCCCAAGCGACUGUUUACCAAAAACAUAGGUUUCUGCUAAGUCGCAAGACGAUGUAUAGGAGCUGACGCCUGCCCGGUGCUGGAAGGUUAAGGGGAUCUGUUAGAGCAAUCGAAGCAGUGAACUUAAGCCCCAGUAAACGGCGGCCGUAACUAUAACGGUCCUAAGGUAGCGAAAUUCCUUGUCGGGUAAGUUCCGACCCGCACGAAAGGCGUAACGAUUUGGGCACUGUCUCAACAACAGACUCGGUGAAAUUGUAAUUCCGGUGAAGAUGCCGGAUACCUGCGACAGGACGGAAAGACCCCAUGGAGCUUUACUGUAGCUUGACAUUGGGUCUUGGUACUACAUGUACAGGAUAGGUGGGAGGCUUUGAAACCAGGACGCCAGUUUUGGCGGAGCCAUCCUUGGGAUACCACCCUUGUAGUACUGGGACUCUAACCAUAGGCCAUGAAUCUGGUCUUGGGACACUGUCAGGUGGGCAGUUUGACUGGGGCGGUCGCCUCCCAAAAGGUAACGGAGGCGCUCAAAAGUUCUCUCAGUACGGUCGGAAAUCGUACGUAGAGUGUAAAGGCAAAAGAGAGCUUGAUUGCAAGACAUACAGGUCGAGCAAGGAUGAAAAUCGGACUUAGUGAUCCGGUGGUUCUGCGUGGAAGGGCCAUCGCUCAACGGAUAAAAGCUACCCUGGGGAUAACAGGCUUAUCUCCCCCAAGAGUCCACAUCGACGGGGAGGUGUGGCACCUCGAUGUCGGCUCAUCACAUCCUGGGGCUGUAGUAGGUCCCAAGGGUUGGGCUGUUCGCCCAUUAAAGUGGUCGCGAGCUGGGUUCAGAACGUCGUGAGACAGUUCGGUCCCUAUCCGUCGCAGGCGUAGGAAAUUUGAGAAGACCUGUCCUUAGUACGAGAGGACCGGGAUGGACGUACCUCUGGUGUACCAGUUGUUCUGCCAAGGGCAUGGCUGGGUAGCUAUGUACGGAAUGGAUAAGCGCUGAAAGCAUCUAAGCGCGAAGCCAACUUCAAGAUAAGAUUUCCCA
rnacentral:rRNA from 1 species